rnacentral:rRNA from 1 species
CCUACGGGAGGCUGCAGUGGGGAAUAUUGCACAAUGGGCGCAAGCCUGAUGCAGCCAUGCCGCGUGUGUGAGGAAGGCCUUCGGGUUGUAAAGCACUUUCAGCGGGGAGGAAGGCGGUGAGGUUAAUAACCUCAUCGAUUGACGUUACCCGCAGAAGAAGCACCGGCUAACUCCGUGCCAGCAGCCGCGGUAAUACGGAGGGUGCAAGCGUUAAUCGGAAUUACUGGGCGUAAAGCGCACGCAGGCGGUCUGUCAAGUCGGAUGUGAAAUCCCCGGGCUCAACCUGGGAACUGCAUUCGAAACUGGCAGGCUAGAGUCUUGUAGAGGGGGGUAGAAUUCCAGGUGUAGCGGUGAAAUGCGUAGAGAUCUGGAGGAAUACCGGUGGCGAAGGCGGCCCCCUGGACAAAGACUGACGCUCAGGUGCGAAAGCGUGGGGAGCAAACAGGAUUAGAUACCCGGGUAGUC